rnacentral:rRNA from 1 species
AGGACGAACGCCGGCGGCGUGCUUAACACAUGCAAGUCGAGCGGAAAGGCCUUUCGGGGUACUCGAGCGGCGAACGGGUGAGUAACACGUGAGUAAUCUGCCCAUCGCUUCAGGAUAGCCAUCGGAAACGGUGAUUAAUACUGGAUAUGACAUUCCUUCGCAUGUUGGGGUGUGGUAAAGUUUUUUCGGCGGUGGAUGUGCUCGCGGCCUAUCAGCUUGUUGGUGGGUAAUGGCCUACCAAGGCUUUGACGGGUA